CAGGGCUAUCGUGAUUUGAUUCGAGGCUUCGUUCUAAGUUUAUUAGGGUUCUGAUUUCUAGGGCUUUUUGUUUUCUAGGGUUUUUCCAUUGUAUUAUAUCUUUGGGGUUCAAAUUUUGUGCAUGAAAUUUCAAUUCUGAUAAAAAUUUCUUGUUUGAAUAGUUGUUUUACAGGUAGGUUCUUAGUAAGAAGAAGAAGGUAACUGAUAUUCGAUAUGGAAACUGCAUGUUUUAGCAAGUCUUAUUUUGAGCAACCAAGGAACGUUCUUGAGGCUGAGUAUGAGCUUUUCCCAAAGUCUUCAGAUCCACGAAUUGAAGGUAUCAAACAACAUAUGAUGAAGACUGGUCAAGUAGAUUAUAGUAACAGCAACUGGAGUCUCCAGUUGGACAGGGAUGCGCGAAGGAAGCUCCGUUGGAUUCAAGCGGCGGAGGGAGGAUGUGAGCCGCCGGUCCGUCGUCAUUCUAAGCAUAAGGUUCCUGUUCCAGGGAUGAGGCCGAAGGCACGUGGCAUGGUUGGAAUGCGGAAUCGAACCCGGUCAAGGAAUUUGAGAAGUAUUUAUCUUCAGUAAUCAGAAAAGAUACUCCUAGUGAGGAGAUGGACAUUGAAGAAGACAACCACACAGCUGAUUGGGCUACAAGGAUGGAAGAACCUCGGUUUGUUUGUGUUUAUGGCAGAGGACACAGUGGAGUUGAGGCAGCUGAAGCAGCAAUUGAUUUUAUCAAGAAAGUCAAAAUUGAAGAGGAUACUGAAGUCGGAUCUUUUGGAAGAUGUACAAGCUGAGGUCAUUGAAAUUGAUAAGAACACCGUGCCGCCAUGUACCAGCAACAAGACCGUUAAUGUAUACAGAAUUCAGCACUUGCCAUGUUUAUUGUCCUAGCCUCCAAUGACCACUAAAUUCUGACCAACUCCCGCGAACUCGCAAGACAGAGGUAAUCCAUCUGAGGAGGUGCUGGGUAUAGGUGGUAACUUCCCUGGUUUAUAAAAGCUAAGCCGGGGAACCGGUGUAUCAGGAUUUUCUGGGUUUUGCAGUAAAUCAUCGAUGAUUGGAUCAGAGCUGUUAGAUUUUGAACGAAACUGUUGGGAUAUAUGUUUUAAAAUAAUUCUUUUGUAUAUUUUAUCAACAAUUCGAGCUUAGCCCAGUGGUUAAGCAUUUUAGGCCUUGAGGGUGAGGUCUCAGGAGGUCUCUUGAAUUUGGAAAGUUAUUUUUACUGAUUUUGAAAAGAAUUUUCAACCCAGUUUUAUUGCCCUUAAUUACGUUGAUAAUUGUGCUAAUUAUGGUACGAUUAA